CGCCCUUACGGGAGGCAGCAGCAAGGAAUUUGCCGCAAUGGACACAUGUCUGACGGAGCAACGCCGCGUGCAGGACGACGGCCUUCGGGUUGUAAACUGCUUUUGGGUGGGACGAUGAUGACGGUACCACCCGAAUAAGCCCCGGCUAACUCCGUGCCAGCAGCCGCGGUAAGACGGAGGGGGCAAGCGUUGUCCGGACUCACUGGGCGUAAAGCGUGCGUAGGUGGUGCGAUGCGUCGGCGCUGAAACCGGCUUAACCGGGCGACGGGCGACGAUACGAUCGCACUGGAGGCAGGGAGACGUUGGUGGAAUUCCGGGUGUAGUGGUGAAAUGCGUAGAGAUCCCGAGAAUGCCGGUGGCGUAAGGGGCCAACGAGUCCUCACCUGACACUGAGGCACGAAAGCGUGGGGAGCAAACCGGAUUAGAUACCCGGGUAGUCCACGCCGUAAACGAUGUCGGGUAGGUGUGUGAUCGGGGUGACCCAUGGCGUGCCCAAGCUUACGCGGUAAGCCGACCGCUGGGGACUACGAGCGCAAGUUAAAAC
rnacentral:rRNA from 1 species